UGUGAAUGGCAUACCAGUGAGGCUGACUCUAGGGGGCAAAACUCCUAAUAUCCCUUAGAUUAAAUCCCAUUAGCUUUAGUGGGUACCAGUCCAAGUGCCUGCAUUUUCAAAGUGCAGUGGCUUAAUCUUUACUAAGUAAUUCAGCCAUCAGACCCUUCCAGGGCUUUCCUUUAGCACUUCCACGCUUCUUAGGAGAUACUGAUUUCUGUUGAUUGAUCAUUGUUGACCAAGGAUUAAGUGGUUGUUAUUCUAUCUUUGGAGAGGAGAAAGGUGGCAUCCAGGCAUACCUACAAAGCUCAGUGACACCUUUCCCCUGGUUGUCUU
rnacentral:lncRNA from 1 species